GUCAGUAUUGGUUUGCAGGGUCUGACAGGCCUUGGAAAGGAGGAUUUCAAAAUCUUCAUGUUUGAAGAGCUUGGGUAUAAAAGCAGCUGGAAAACAGAGAAGGAAAGUACAAGAGCAGGCGAGGACUAAAGAAAACGGGAGAGAAAGCAACACGGAAGCAAAAGAGAGAGAGAGAUGCUGGCAAAACGCUGAGAAAAGCUGGAGCUCUUUCAAGGUCCUGUGCAAGGGAGCAAGGCAGGACAGGAACUGGGAGGAGCUUGACUGGGGCAUCUUGGGAUGGCUUCUAAUCUGCACAAAGAGUCCUGUCUAUUGGGAGCAAAUGGAUGUGACAACCCAUAGUAAAGGAUACCUUCCUACACUGGGGAAGAAUGAA